GAUUAUAUGUAAUUUAUUGAAAGAAAUCCUCUAAAUAUCUGAAAAUUUUUUGAAAGAAUUAUAGAUCUAGCAAAUUAAUGAGUGAAGUUUGUAGAUCUAUCAUAACUACAGCAUAUAUUACAUCUUUCAUCAAUAAAUUUGCAAAUGCAAAUAAGCAAAAAAGAAAACAUUUUUUUUUUUAAGAAAAAAAAGUUAGCUUGUCUUUCAAAGUAAAAUGUGAAGACAGUAGUUUUUUUUUUUUUUUUUUU
rnacentral:misc_RNA from 1 species